UUUCUACUCCCUCCGUCCGAAAAUACUUGUCAUCAAAAUGGAUAAAAAGAGAUGUAUCUAAAACUAAAAUACGUCUAGAUACAUUUCCUUUUAUCCAUUUUGAUGACAAGUAUUUCCGGACGGAGGNAGAG
rnacentral:pre_miRNA from 1 species